rnacentral:rRNA from 1 species
UGGGGAAUAUUGGACAAUGGGCGCAAGCCUGAUCCAGCCAUGCCGCGUGAGUGAUGAAGGCCCUCGGGUUGUAAAGCUCUUUCACCGGUGAAGAUAAUGACGGUAACCGGAGAAGAAGCCCCGGCUAACUUCGUGCCAGCAGCCGCGGUAAUACGAAGGGGGCUAGCGUUGUUCGGAUUUACUGGGCGUAAAGCGCACGUAGGCGGACUUUUAAGUCAGGGGUGAAAUCCCGGGGCUCAACCCCGGAAAUGCCUUUGAUACUGGAAGUCUUAAGUAUGGGAGAGGUGAGUGGAAUUCCGAGUGUAGAGGGGAAAUUCGUAGAUAUUCGGAGGAAAACCAGUGGCGAAGGCGGCUCACUGGACCAUUACUGACGCUGAGGUGCGAAAGCGUAGGGAGCAAACAGG